UACGAAGGGGGCUAGCGUUGCUCGGAAUUACUGGGCGUAAAGCGCACGUAGGCGGCUUGUUAAGUCAGGGGUGAAAUCCUGGAGCUCAACUCCCAGAACUGCCUUUGAUACUGGCGAGCUUGAGUUCGGGAGAGGUGAGUGGAACUGCGAGUGUAGAGGUGAAAUUCGUAGAUAUUCGCAAGAACACCAGUGGCGAAGGCGGCUCACUGGCCCGAUACUGACGCUGAGGUGCGAAAGCGUGGGGAGCAAACAGG
rnacentral:rRNA from 1 species